rnacentral:rRNA from 1 species
AUUGAACGCUGGCGGCAUGCCUUACACAUGCAAGUCGAACGGCAGCACGGGAGCAAUCCUGGUGGCGAGUGGCGAACGGGUGAGUAAAGUAUCGGAACGUGCCCAGUCGUGGGGGAUAACGUAGCGAAAGUUACGCUAAUACCGCAUACGAUCUAUGGAUGAAAGCGGGGGAUCGCAAGACCUCGCGCGAUUGGAGCGGCCGAUAUCAGAUUAGGUAGUUGGUGGGGUAAAGGCGCACCAAGCCGACGAUCUGUAGCUGGUCUGAGAGGACGAGCAGCCACACUGGGACUGAGACACGGCGCAGACUCCGACGUGAGUCAGCAGUGGGGAAUGUUGGACAAUGGGCGAAAGGCUGAUCCAGCCAUGCCGCGUGCAGGAUGAAGGCCUUCGGGUUGUAAACUGCUUUUGUACGGAACGAAAAGGUUUGGCCUAAUAAGCUGAGCUCAUGACGGUACCGUAAGAAUAAGCACCGGCUAACUACGUGCCAGCCGCCGCCGUAA